AACGAACGCUGGCGGCAGGCCUAACACAUGCAAGUCGAGCGAGGACUUCGGUCCUAGCGGCGGACGGGUGAGUAACGCGUGGGAACGUGCCCUUUGCUUCGGAAUAGCCCUGGGAAACUGGGAGUAAUACCGGAUGAGCCCUUUGGGGGAAAGAUUUAUCGGCGAAGGAUCGGCCCGCGUUGGAUUAGGUAGUUGGUGGGGUAAUGGCCUACCAAGCCGACGAUCCAUAGCUGGUUUGAGAGGAUGAUCAGCCACACUGGGACUGAGACACGGCCCAGACUCCCCCGGGGGGGGCCGGUGGGGAAAUUUUGAGAAAGGGGGGAACCCCGUGCUCUCCCCGCGCCGGGGGCGAUAUAAGGCUUUGGGUGUUAAAACCCUUUUCCAGCGGAGAAGAAAGAGGCGGCCCCAAGAAAAAACCCCCCCUAAACCCCU
rnacentral:rRNA from 1 species